AAUGAGGAAAUACUCCGGUGCUGAAGGAUGGGCUUGCACGUAAUUAGCUUGUUGGUAGGGUAAUGGCCUACCAAGGCUACGAUUACUAGCUGGUCUGAGAGGAUGGUCAGCCACACUGGGACUGAGAUACGGCCCAGACUCCUACGGGAGGCAGCAGUUAAGAAUCUUGCGCAAUGGGCGAAAGCCUGACGCAGCGACGCCGCGUGGACGAUGAAGGCCUUCGGGUUGUAAAGUCCAGUAAGCAGGGAGGAAUAAGUAGAAACUAAUAUUUUCUACGAUGACGGUACCUGCCUAAAGCCCCGGCUAACUACGUGCCAGCAGCCGCGGUAAUACGUAUGGGGCAAGCGUUGUUCGGAAUUAUUGGGCAUAAAGGGCGUCUAGGCGGGGGAUUAAGUUGGGUGUGAAAGCCACAGGCUCAACCUGUGAAUUGCACCCAAAACUGAUUCUCUUGAGUCCGGGAGAGGAGAGCGGAAUUCCAGGUGUAGCGGUGAAAUGCGUAGAUNUCUGGAAGAACACCAGUGGCGAAGGCGGCUCUCUGGCCUAGGACUGACGCUAAAGCGCGAAAGCGUGGGGAGCGAACGGGAUUAGAUACCCCGGUAGUCCACGCUGUAAACGUUGUGUACUAGGUGUAAGUGGCUUGAUCACUUGUGCCGAAGCUAACGCAUUAAGUACACCGNCUGGGGAGUACGCCCGCAAGGGUGAAACUCAAAGAAAUUGACGGGGGCCCGCACAAGCGGUGGAGCAUGUGGUUAAUUCGAUGAUACGCGAAGAACCUUACCUGGGGCUGAACUGUGCUUGACAGAUGUAGAGAUACAUCCUCCUUCGGUCAAGUAUAGAGGUUCUGCAUGGUUGUCGUCAGCUCGUGUCGUGAGAUGUUGGGUAUAGUCCCGCAACGAGCGCAACCCCUACUCCCGUUUUGCCAACAGGUUAAGCUGGGCACUCUGGGGGAACUUCCGGUGAUAAACCGGAGGAAGGUGGGGAUGACGUCAUAUCAUCACGGCCCUUAUGUCCAGGGCUACACACGUGCUACAAUGGCUGGUACAAUGAGCUGCGAUGCCGCGAGGUGGAGCUAAUCUCAAAAAACCAGUCUCAGUUCGGAUUGGAGUCUGCAACUCGACUCCAUGAAGUUGGAAUCGCUAGUAAUCGGGGAUCAGCUCGCCCCGG
rnacentral:rRNA from 1 species